UACAGUCAUAUCAGGUUCAAACAUCAGUUCUCAUACGAUCACCGAAGUUAAGCAUCGUCGAGCCUGGUCAGUACCUAGAUGGUGACUGCUUGGGAAUAUCAAGUU